UACGUAGGUGGCAAGCGUUGUUCGGAAUUAUUGGGCGUAAAGAGCUCGUAGGCGGUUUGUUGCGUCGGCUGUGAAAUCCCGAGGCUCAACCUCGGGUCUGCAGUCGAUACGAGCAAACUAGAGUGUUGCAGGGGAGACUGGAAUUCCUGGUGUAGCGGUGAAAUGCGCAGAUAUCAGGAGGAACACCGGUGGCGAAGGCGACUUCCUGGCCUGUUCUUGACGCUGGAGGCGCGAAAGCUAGGGUAGCAAACGGG
rnacentral:rRNA from 1 species